rnacentral:rRNA from 1 species
GAUGAACGCUGGCGGCGUGCCUAAUACAUGCAAGUCGAGCGAACGGACGAGAAGCUUGCUUCUCUGAUGUUAGCGGCGGACGGGAGAGUAACACGUGGAUAACCUACCUAUAAGACUGGGAUAACUUCGGGAAACCGGAGCUAAUACCGGAUAAUAUUUUGAACCGCAUGGUUCAAAAGUGAAAGACGGUGUUGCUGUCACUUAUAGAUGGAUCCGCGCUGCAUUAGCUAGUUGGUAAGGUAACGGCUUACCAAGGCAACGAUGCAUAGCCGACCUGAGAGGGUGAUCGGCCACACUGGGACUGAGACACGGUCCAGACUCCUACGGGAGGCAGCAGUAGGGAAUCGUCCGCAAUGGGCGAAAGCCUGACGGAGCAACGCCGCGUGAGUGAUGAAGGUCUUCGGAUCGUAAAACUCUGUUAUUAGGGAAGAACAUAUGUGUAAGUAACUGUGCACAUCUUGACGGUACCUAAGCAGAAAGCCACGGCUAACUACGUG